AUGAUAAGCAAUCUAACCCAUCCAUCCAGGGCCUUGUGGUGCCACCCGUUCCUCCAGGGGGUCCAGGAGGUGAUGAAGAUGAAGAUACCUACGAGGAGGCAGAACCUUACUUGGCCAACACAACCACAUCUAACACUGAGAACGCAGAGUCAGACAGUAGUCACUAUGAGUCAUACGGGGAGGAAGAUGAUGAUGAUGAGCCUGUGAAGGACCGAGCUCACUACAUCCACUGGAGCGCCUCGCAGCCCUGCCUACGCCCCGUCCCAGAGUCCCGCCUCUGUGGUUACCUGUGGAAGAGGAAAUGGCUCGGACAGUGGACCAAACAGCUGUUCAUCAUCCGGAGCGACGUGCUGCUGUGUUAUAAGUGUGCCCAGGACCUGCUGCCUCAGCUGGAGUUGAGUCUGCGUGGCUGUCAGCUGGUCUACAAGUCGAAGAGCAGCGGGAAGAUCCAGCACCAGCUCAAGCUGCUGCUGCUGGGCUCAGAGAGCCUGGUGCUGGGCUACAGCAGCUUCCAGCAGGCCGCCGAGUGGAG